rnacentral:lncRNA from 1 species
UCAGAUAAUCUACAGAAUACAAUCCAUUCUUCAAGAUACAUCAGUAAAAUUGUUAGAUCAUAGUCUCAGAAAACAAAAGAGGUAUGUCCACACGCUCAUCCCUUUUGCUUAUAUCACAUAAUCAUCAUUCAACAAUAAUUUUACAAGACGACAUUCAACUCUUGGGUCUGACCCAUGAUGCACUUUCUUAAUAGCUCUCUUAUCAAGACUUUAGGACGAUCGAACACACAAGACCGCCGAAAAAUCGAAGGCAUGGAAACAACUCCAGCAACUUGCAUCCAAUAUACGCCUGCGACGCCCAAACGAUCGAAGGCACAAAGAAGCGUCCAACAAACUGAAGACACGACAUCAACACCAUCAACCUCAGGUAAUAUCCACAUGCAAUUCUUCAGGUAUGUCAGCAUUUGAUCUCAGCUCAACCUUGCUUCUAAUCUUCUAUGUAAAAACCCUACUGAGACUGAACUGUAAACCAUGUUUUUUUUCAGGCAUCCACACACUACCAUGACAGGAGUGUGAAAGCUACAAAAGGAGGUACACAAUUGAACACUUAUUGAUUUACAGUGCCAUACCAGAUAAACAAUAUUGAUCUCCAGAUGUACUGUACAUGACACCUCCAUUAUUAGUCUCUAUAUCUCCAAAUGCACUUACAUGUGUGAAGUGGCACACUAUUAAGAAAACUCUACAUGUCACUGACGAAAUCAAAUUUCCAGAGAUGACAGUCCAACAUACGUAAGCGCUAGCAGCUCACCAUACAAAAAUAAAGAAAUAUCAAGCUCUAAACUCAAGGAUCACAAAGCGGACAAGGACUGCAGAGGGAAGAAGAAAUACGAACACAUGGGCUCCUAAAAAAUUCAGAAAGGAUAAUGCUAAAGAAGAUAAGGAAUUGAAGCAUACAGGAAGAGAAAGCAACAAAAUUAACAUUAGAAUCAAUGUUGGAGACAACAAUAGAACCACAACCUCAACAAGUGCUAAUAGAAAGACAUGGAAGUUUGAAAGGCCAACAUACAAAUGCUAAUAUUGCAAAUCAUUGCUAUGGUGUGAAGAAAUAUUAAAUUCAACAAAGGAACUACGAAACCCUCUUUGGAAUAUGUUGCAAACAGGGAAAAAUCAAUCUGCCACCACUAAGAGAGCCUCCACCAUACCUCGGAAACCUCUUAAGAAAUGAAGGGCAGAAUUAUAAGGUCAUACAACUUGUUGUUUUCAUUCACAUCGAUGGGAGGAGUUGUGGACAAGGAAAUAAAAACUCACAAAGAACUUUCUGCUUUCCGUUUGCAUGGACAGAACUACCACCACAUCAGAACUCUUUUACCUGAAGGUACAGACAAACCUCGGUUCACACAGCUGUACAUCUAUAAUAAUUUAAAUGAGGUUGCAAACAGGAUAAGUGCGUCAAGAUGCAAUGAUGAUAAAUCAACAGUGUACACCAAGAUCGUCAAAGAAUUGCAAAUAAUACUCGACGACAAUAACAUCCUUAUAAAAACAAGGUAGGAAUAUAUUUGCCUAAGCAAGCAUUCUGCCAUGGACAACUGUAUGUGGCAUUAUCAAGAGUGACAAAUAAGGAAGGAUUGAAGGUGCUGAUCAACGGCAAAGAGUGUCCAACUGAAGAUGCCGCAAAGAAUAUUUUUUAUAAAGGGAUAUUCUAAUUUACAAUGUAGUUCAUCAAGUCAACAAAACUAGAAUUUUGAAUAGACAAUGCAUGUGAAAUUACAUAGAGUUGAAGACAACCUAACUAUAUAUACAUAUGUCUGAUCUUUCCACAAAAUAUUAUCGCUGAAUAUUUUUAUCUCUCUUUUAUCAUCAUUUAAAAAAAUUGAAGCACGAAUAUUUUUACAUAGCUACAUACCUCUUUUUCGAAAUAUAAGCCUUUUUAGAGGUUUCAAUACGGACUACAUAUGGACGUGUAGAGACAUAUUUUAGAGUGUAGAGUCACUCAUUUUGCUCCGUAUGUAUUCCGUAUUAGAAUCUCUAAAAUAACUUAUAUUUAGGAACGGAGGGAGUUUUAGAGUGUAGAUUCACUCAUUUUACUCUGUAUGUAGUCCGUAUUGGAAUCUCUAAAAAACUUAUAUUUAGGAACGGAGGGAGUACUAUAUUUGAUCGUUCUAGAGAAAGUUCACAAAUAAAUUCCACCUAAAUAGUGAUUACUAAUAUCUCUCGCACUAACACUCUUAUCACUCUUACAAAUAAUCUCUCUAAAAAAUAGGCAUCAACAUAGCCUCCCCAGCCGAAUAAAUGUAUGUGUAUUCAUAUAAUUAAUACAGAUGUGCUGAAGAGAUAAUAGGUGUUGCAGGUAGUACAGACAAGACACAACAAUGAAUUAUUGAACACUUUUUGCUAUACGGAACUUCAUAUAAUUAAUACGGAUGUGUUGCAGAGAUAAUCUAAGUUGAAGAGACGAUCUAAGUUGGGCAGAAUGUCAACUGAAAAAAAGUUAAUUCCCCAAAACAACGCAAGGUAAGCAAAAAGGCAGGGGAUAUGAGUAACUCUUACAUAAAUUGAGGCAGUCUUCGCUCGCUUGAUCCUAAAAAAACUCCAUGCGCAUAUUGGUCACCUCUCUGCAUUUGUCCUUCCCGGCUUCUGAUUAGUACCUCACCAUAGAACACCCUCUCCCUUUGGCGAGCAUGAAAAUUAUGAGUAAGAAGAAACCAUGCAAAGAUAAAAAAGGUAGAGAAAGGUGAGGAGAACAUAAACAUCUCCUUAUCUACACCAGAAAAAAUCUCCACCAGCUGCAGGAAGAUGAUAACAGGAGACCAUGAGCCGAUUUCUCAUAAAGAAUCCAAAAUCCACGCAAUUGCUGGAUCCUAGCAGACCAAGCAUCUGGGAAAGAAGGAGAAGGAAGGGAAGAGGAGAGAUUACCUGGAGGAGAGCCACCGCUCAGGUUCAAGGGGGGCAAACUUCACGGCCAUCCAGUCGACGGCGGCGGCGAGAAGCAGGCACGUGUGGUCAAGCUGGAAG